CGGAGGAUCCAAGCGUUAUCCGGAUUCAUUGGGUUUAAAGGGGGCGUAGGCGGAAUGAUAAGUCAGUGGUGAAAUCUCGGAGCUUAACUCCGAAACUGCCAUUGAUACUGUCAAUCUUGAGUACAUUUGAUGAGGGCGGAAUGUGUCAUGUAGCGGUGAAAUGCUUAGAUAUGACACAGAACACCGAUUGCGAAGGCAGCUCUCAAAACUGUAACUGACGCUGAGGCACGAAAGCGUGGGUAUCAAACAGGAUUAGAUACCCUGGUAGUCCACGCUGUAAACUAUGAUUACUCGAUGUUUGCGAUAUACUGUAAGCGUCUAAGCGAAAGCGAUAAGUAAUCCACCUGGGGAGUACGCUCGCAAGAGUG
rnacentral:rRNA from 1 species